rnacentral:misc_RNA from 1 species
UAAAUCACAUAAAAACACACACACGCAUACAUGAUACAUGCAUUUUGCAUAUCCAUUUAGGUUAGAUUUCAUGGCCAUUUCAUUUAUUUGUUAGUCACUUUUAGCUAAUUUUAUUAGUUAAUUAGAUAAUUUUUCAUAAUUGUCAUUUUUUGGGUUAAUUUGUAAUUUACUUUAUUUUGUAGGUAAAAUGGUGUUUUUGAGGGACUAAAAAGUAAUUAUGCCAGUGAGGAGUGAUUCCCAUAGUCAAAAAUGUCAAAAUUAAGUU